ACCAAUUGGUUCAAAUGGAAUAAUCCAUUAGACUGAAUUUAUUAUUUUUCUUUUUCUUUUCCCGUUUUUUGAAUGGCUUCUAGCAGUGAAGCAUAAAAUAUGAAUUAUGGAAUAGGGUUUGGGAGCUAGAUCUAGGUCCUGGUUGAAGUCUAUUAUAAGCUUUUAUAGAGCUCUAAUGGAAGCCUUAUCUCUUGUGAUAUGCUUUCUCUUACAGUAAAUGGAGCUUUCCCCUUUCGGCAUCUUCAAAGCAGAUUGUAAUGCUUUCUUAAUCUCAUUUUCUUCUAAUCUACUUUGCAGUGGUUUUCCUUUCCUCUCCGCCGCUGCGAUUAUGGCUUCUGUUAGAUUCCCGAGCCAAAACCAUUUGUUCGGAUCAAGAUGACAGCCGCUGCACCAGAGUUAGCACUCCAGCAUCCAAAGCUGGCUCGACGCAGUAGCUCCUUCUCCGCAACCAUGCAGCUCCUCCAAACCAAAGACUUCGUGCCUGAUCGAACUUUACAAAGCCUCAUCUAAAAGAUUAAUGUUUCGGCAUUGUUGAGAUGUUAUCCCCUUAGUCUCCAAAGGGUCAUGGAAUGAUGCUGAGGAAAAAGUAAGGGGUAAUGAAGGAGCCAUGUUCGCAUGUAACCUAAAGGUGGAAAAAAGCUUGAUCAAGAUGGGGCCAUGGGUGGUAGUACCUAAUGCCAAAUCACCUCAAUACGAGAAUCAUAUUGUCAUUGUAACUUAAUUCAAGCUCAGCCUUUACGUUGGCGCUCUCUCAUUGCCACAAACUACAAACACAAACAUAAAAAACAGGGCCCCUUUGGUGGGGUGAGGAUAAAUAGUUACGAACUCAUACCCUAGGGAAAGGCAUUUAACUUUUCAAUGUCCAUCAUAGAAAUCAUCAUUUCGUGCCACCUUUGAUUCCUUUUGGGCACAUAAAAAAUGUAUACAAACCCUUUUCCUUAUACCUUUACUGUCUUCUUUACCUUCCACACUUUCAUAUAAUCCACCAUCCCAGUCAAACCUUUCAUUCAUUCCAUUACAUUCAAUCAAAAUUUUAUCUUUA